rnacentral:rRNA from 1 species
GGAUGCAAGCGUUAUCCGGAUUGAUUGGGCGGAAAGCGUCCGCAGGUGGCUGUGUAAGUCUGCUGUUAAAGAGUGAGGCUCAACCUCAUAAAGGCAGUGGAAACUACAUGGCUAGAGUGCGUUCGGGGCAGAGGGAAUUCCUGGUGUAGCGGUGAAAUGCGUAGAGAUCAGGAAGAACACCGGUGGCGAAAGCGCUCUGCUAGGCCGCAACUGACACUGAGGGACGAAAGCUAGGGGAGCGAAUGGG